UGAGUAACAUGUAUCCAACCUGCCGUCUACUCUUGGCCAGCCUUCUGAAAGGAAGAUUAAUCCAGGAUGGCAUCAUGAGUUCACAUGUCCGCAUGAUUAAAGGUAUUUUCCGGUAGACGAUGGGGAUGCGUUCCAUUAGAUAGUAGGCGGGGUAACGGCCCACCUAGUCAACGAUGGAUAGGGGUUCUGAGAGGAAGGUCCCCCACAUUGGUACUGAGACACGGACCAA
rnacentral:rRNA from 1 species